rnacentral:misc_RNA from 1 species
UCGGCCUGGUUAUUCNUAACCCUUUGUUGUCCGACUCUGUUGCCUCCGGGGCGACCCUGCCUUCGGGCGGGGGCUCCGGGUGGACACUUCAAACUCUUGCGUAACUUUGCAGUCUGAGUAAACUUAAUUAAUAAAUUAAAACUUUUAACAACGGAUCUCUUGGUUCUGGCAUCGAUGAAGAACGCAGCGAAAUGCGAUAAGUAAUGUGAAUUGCAGAAUUCAGUGAAUCAUCGAAUCUUUGAACGCACAUUGCGCCCCCUGGUAUUCCGGGGGGCAUGCCUGUUCGAGCGUCAUUUCACCACUCAAGCCUCGCUUGGUAUUGGGCAACGCGGUCCGCCGCGUGCCUCAAAUCGUCCGGCUGGGUCUUCUGUCCCCUAAGCGUUGUGGAAACUAUUCGCUAAAGGGUGUUCGGGAGGCUACGCCGUAAAACAACCCCAUUUCUAAGGUUGACCUCGGAUCAGGUAGGGAUACCCGCUGAACUUAAGCAUAUCAAUUAAGCGGAGGA